GAAAGAAUUGAUGAACCUUCGCCGUGGGUCCCACCCGCUGUAUAGGGACACCCCAUCUAGUCUUAACGAGCUUUGAUGCAUAAAAAAAUUCUAAAACAAUGCUUUAACAAGUAAUUUUGGGUCCGUAAUAUAGCCCAAAUCACAAAAAUGCGCGAAAAAGUAUUUAAAGGUCAAAAUUUGGGUUCGACAAAAAGUCAAUGGAAAAGUUCGUUUGUCGUGCUUCUUUCGUCGGAAGGCUCUCUUUGGGAUUUCCGAAAAGGUAGCACAUGCCUAGUUUGGCCUCACGGUAUAAAAGUUAUAGAGUUAUAAAGUUUUAACCAAAAAAAACAAAUUAAAAAAAAGAGGGAUGCAACACGAGGACUUCCCGGGAGGUCACCCAUCCUAGUACUACUCUCGCCCAAGCACGCUUAACGAAAGGUCAAAAUUUGGAGUCGACAAAAACUCAAUACAUAUGUUCCAUUGUCCUGCUUCUUUCAUCGGAGGGCUUUCUUUGGGCUUUCCGAAAAGGUAUCACAUGCCUAGUUUGGCCUCUCGGUAUAAAAGUUAUAGAGUCAUAAAGUUUUAACCAAAGAAAAAAAUUAAAAAAAAAGAGAGAUACAACACGAGGACUUCCCGGGAGGUCACCCAUCCUAGUACUACUCUCGCCCAAGCAUGCUUAACUGCGGAUUUCUGAUGGGAUCCGGUGUAUUAGUGCUGGUAUGAUCGCAUCCGUUAGUAUAUGCAAUGCAAUCGUAUAUAUUCUUUUUUGAAGACUUGAUGAACCAUUCGCCGUGGGUCGCACCCGCUAUGUAGGGAUACCCCAUCUAGUCUUAACGAGCUUUGAUGCAUGAUAAAAU
rnacentral:sRNA from 1 species